rnacentral:rRNA from 1 species
UGGGGAAUUUUGGACAAUGGGCGCAAGCCUGAUCCAGCAAUGCCGCGUGCAGGAUGAAGGCCUUCGGGUUGUUAACUGCUUUUGUACGGAGCGAAAAGGUCUGGCCUAAUACGGUGGGCUCAUGACGGUACCGUAAGAAUAAGCACCGGCUAACUACGUGCCAGCAGCCGCGGUAAUACGUAGGGUGCAAGCGUUAAUCGGAAUUACUGGGCGUAAAGCGUGCGCAGGCGGUUAUGCAAGACAGAGGUGAAAUCCCCGGGCUUAACCUGGGGACUGCCUUUGUGACUGCAUAGCUAGAGUACGGUAGAGGGGGAUGGAAUUCCGCGUGUAGCAGUGAAAUGCGUAGAUAUGCGGAGGAACACCGAUGGCGAAGGCAAUCCCCUGGACCUGUACUGACGCUCAUGCACGAAAGCGUGGGGAGCAAACA